rnacentral:rRNA from 1 species
CCAAGGGCGGUCGGUCUAUACAUAGCAGUCGAGCGGUAGCACAGAGAAGCGUUGCUUCUUGGGUGACGAGCGGCGGACGGGUGAGUAAUGCAUAGGAAUCUGCCCGAUAGUGGGGGAUAACCUGGGGAAACCCAGGCUAAUACCGCAUACGUCCUACGGGAGAAAGGGGGCUUCGGCUCCCGCUAUUGGAUGAGCCUAUGUCGGAUUAGCUGGUUGGUGAGGUAAAGGCUCACCAAGGCGACGAUCCGUAGCUGGUCUGAGAGGAUGAUCAGCCACAUCGGGACUGAGACACGGCCCGAACUCCUACGGGAGGCAGCAGUGGGGAAUAUUGGACAAUGGGCGCAAGCCUGAUCCAGCCAUGCCGCGUGUGUGAAGAAGGCCUUCGGGUUGUAAAGCACUUUCAGCGAGGAAGAACGCCUAGCGGUUAAUACCCGCUAGGAAAGACAUCACUCGCAGAAGAAGCACCGGCUAACUCCGUGCCAGCAGCCGCGGUAAUACGGAGGGUGCAAGCGUUAAUCGGAAUUACUGGGCGUAAAGCGCGCGUAGGUGGCUUGAUAAGCCGGUUGUGAAAGCCCCGGGCUCAACCUGGGAACGGCAUCCGGAACUGUCAAGCUAGAGUGCAGGAGAGGAAGGUAGAAUUCCCGGUGUAGCGGUGAAAUGCGUAGAGAUCGGGAGGAAUACCAGUGGCGAAGGCGGCCUUCUGGACUGACACUGACACUGAGGUGCGAAAGCGUGGGUAGCAAACAGGAUUAGAUACCCUGGUAGUCCACGCCGUAAACGAUGUCGACCAGCCGUUGGGU